GACGAACCGUGCGAACGUUGUUCGGAUUCACUGGGCUUAAAGGGCGCGUAGGCGGGGCGCCGCGCCCGCGGGGAAAGCCCCCGGCUCAACCGGGGGAGUGCCGCGGGUACGGGCGGCCUCGAGCGGUGCAGGGGCACGCGGAACUUCCGGUGGAGCGGUGAAAUGCGUAGAUAUCGGAAGGAACGCCGGUGGCGAAAGCGGCGUGCUGGGCACCUCCUGACGCUGAGGCGCGAAAGCCAGGGGAGCGAACGGG
rnacentral:rRNA from 1 species